AGAGUUUGAUCCUGGCUCAGGACGAACGCUGGCGGCGUGCUUAACACAUGCAAGUCGAACGAUAAGGCCACUUCGGUGGUACUCAAGCGGCGAACGGGUGAGUAACACGUGAGUAAUCUGCCCUUGGCUUCGGGAUAGCCACCGGAAACGGUGAUUAAUACCGAAUAUGACCUCUGCACGCAUGUGUGGUGGUGGAAAGUAUUAUCAGCCAGUGAUGUGCUCACGGG
rnacentral:rRNA from 1 species